GACGAACGCUGGCGGCGUGCUUAACACAUGCAAGUCGAACGGUGAAGCGCCUUCCUUUUUGGUGGGUGUGGAUGAGUGGCGAACGGGUGAGUAACACGUGAGUAACCUGCCCCCUUCUUCUGGAUAACCGCAUGAAAGUGUGGCUAAUACGGGAUAUUCUGGGUCUGUCGCAUGAUGGGUCUGGGAAAGAUAUUGUUUCGGUGGGGGAUGGGCUCGCGGCCUAUCAGCUUGUUGGUGGGGUGAUGGCCUACCAAGGCGGUGACGGGUAGCCGGCCUGAGAGGGUGGACGGUCACACUGGGACUGAGACAAGGCCCAGACUGCUACGGGAGGCAGCAGUGGGGAAUAUUGCACAAUGGGGGAAAGCCUGAUGCAGCGACGCCGCGUGAGGGAUGGAGGCCUUCGGGUUGUGAACCUCUUUCGCCAGUGAAGCAGGCCUGCCUCGUUUGUGGGUGGGUUGACGGUAGCUGGAUAAGAAGCGCCGGCUAACUACGUG
rnacentral:rRNA from 1 species